GUCUAGACACCUGUUUCUUUCUCCCCGGCCCCUCUCCUGCCGGCUCUCUCUCGCACGCUUUGUCUCUCGGCCGGCCGCGGGCUGCGAGCCUGCGCCGCCAGACACGCACCGCCCUGCAGAGCCGCGGCAGGAAGAGCCUGCUCGCCCCACAACUGCAGCUGCGACCUUCUGCUUUCUUCUCUGCCCGAGAUGCUGCGAGAUAUGAAACCAGAACCUGCGAGACAACCAGACUGUGGACAGAUUGCCCAAGGCAUUGUGGGAUUCAUUAUGACAAGAUGACAACGACUGAGAAUGGAGCGUGUCAGUCCCUUGUCACAGAGGCAUGCUGACAGCCACGCUCCGUCCCUGCAGUGCGAAGACUGCUGCGCGGGGCCGGGCGGACUCUUAUCUCCCCGGCUGGUUUCCGCCGCUGCCUGCGCUGCCCCUCCCCCGCAGCAAACCCCACCAGGAAGCGUUGCUGGGCGGACUUGCCGAGCCGGGAGAGUGCGAAGGGAAAAACAAAGCUCGUCGUGCUACUGCAGCGUUUUCCCUUGGUGAAACACGAGGUGCAGCCCUCCCCCCCGCCCAAACAAAAUAGAUCAAGAGGCUGAGCUGCACUGGGUCGACUUGGAAGGCACAGAGAAAUGAAGCGGAAAGAGGAGUCUGAAUAAAAAUAUCCCCUCGCAGCUAGUGGUGGUAUAUUCCAGCUUACAUGUAAAACAUUAUAACCUCUGAACCGUAGUGUAAAUGUGACACGCGCACGCCGCUGUUUGCAUGGGCUGUCUGCUUUGAUAAUGAGCAAAUGCAGAUUUUAAAAGCUUGUCCAAGGGACAGCCAAGAGCAGACUGCAAGGUUAGGCUGAAGGUUAAACGCACAAUAUACUCAAGCGCUCAGAUUUUACCCCUGCUUACAGUACUGCUGCUUAACAUUCCCGGGACAGUGUAUGCAUCUGAUUAGCGAAGCACAGUCUGCACAAGACAAUCUUUCUGCUGCAGCCACCACACGCUGCCCUGCCCGCUGCCACUCUCCAUUACCUGGUGCAUGAGCGCCCGCUGCAAGUACAGAAGAAUUCCACACAAAUACCAGAUAUACUGCCAGCCUUCCUAAUCCUGGCAACAAAUUUAAAACUAAACUGAAGAUCAUGUAGGUUACCUUUCUCAAGAACAUUUCACUGUAUUCCUCAAGGCCUCAAAGUUUUCUUAUUUAAAUAAUCAUGCUGGACCCAAUGAUCUCAGGAGGUCCCUUCCAGCCCUAAACUUCUGUGGAUCUGUGAACUUCAUGACACACGGUCUAAUUUACCCUGGGCUCUAUGAUCCAAACCUUUUAAUAAUUCUGAAGAGAAUUGUACAAGGCCCAAGCCUUGCAUAAAGUGACCCAAGGCUUUGUAUAAAGUGGCCCAAGCCUUGCAAGAAGUGACCAAAUGACAAAAGUAAUAAGAUUUGUUUUGGCCUGGUGUUUUUAAGAAGGCUAGCAAAACCUUUUUUAAGUCCCUUUUGCUCAUGAGGGCAUUAAAUAGUUUUAGUCUGGAUAAUACUCUUGGAUAAUACUCUUCAUUAUAAAAAAGACGAAGUGGGUUUUUCUUACCACUUUUCAUGAAGCAGGGAAAAUAAUCACACCACUCAGUAACAAGGACUCAAGAAUGGAGAAUGUGAGGGUGUUUUGCUUUGUUUUAUAUUUGGGGAGUGGGGAGGAGGGUGUCGCUUUGUUUUGUUCACUGUAUGAAUAAAGAACACUAUAUGCUU